rnacentral:lncRNA from 10 species
UUUUAAUGUUAGAAAAGGUGAAGGUGGUGCUAGUGAGAAGCUUUAGCUAACACACAAAAUGGGGAAGUUAGUUAGUUUUACCACACAGCUGAACAACUUUCACACAAAACCAAAAUGGCAGCUGGUUCUGAGGUUUCAUGAACACAUAAAAGCCCAAAUGCCAGAAACCAAAAAAUUCUCUUUAAGCAAUUUUUUCCCUCUCUAUAGGAACUGAGGCUGUCAGCAGCAUAAACACUUGCAAUCCUGCCCUUCCUAGGAUGCAUGUGCUAUCGAAAAGGGAGGUGUUAAUUGCUGUGCUAAUUACAACAUGAUUGCUUUGCACUUGUUUUGCACUUGUAGGUGAUUAAAUUUUUAACGAAGCAUAUUACUUGGCACUGUUAGCACAGUUAACACAUUUCUCUCUCUCUCUCUCUCUCUUUUUUAUGCCUUGGGAGAAGUCCCGCACCGCAGACCCUUCUCUGGCUGUGAUGUGCUGUUGUGUUUGGAACAAGCUUCUGUUUAGCCUGUCAGUUACAGGACUCCAGCUUCCUGCUUGGGAAAGAGCAGCAGCCUAUUAUAAUCAUCCCCAGCAUGAUGGCACUGGCCAGAUGCGAGCGCAGAACCCACAAAGGUAUUAGCUAAAAAUUAGGCAGUGCUGCCAAUGCCAGUUUCCAGCCUUCAUUUAAAAACUACGACGACUCCAGCCAGUCAAGCGGCAGUGUCGAAGGGUUUAGCAGGAAGGUAGAGAGAUGACAGCAAGUUCCAUGUGAUUUAUUUCAGCUUUACAGCCUGCAUUCCCAGCUGAACCGGAGCACGGGAAACUUGCAUCUGUUACAUGGGCAGCCUUGUAUCUCUUGGUCCCCACUGUGCAGCAGGCUGCUGCUGUCCUCCGUGGAAGCCGGAUUUUGUGUUUGUGCGCCUGUGCGUGCACACUUUCUCUCUCUCUUUUCCUCUUUCUUCCUAGGCCUCCUCAUUCAGAAGUGUCUGGGAAGACAGGUUUGGUUGUAAGAGAAGAACUGGACAUGUCUGAGGGGUUCACAACCUUGGGGUGCGCUGUCAGAGAAAUGACAGACAAGCUAAGCCUCAGUUCUCUCUGAAUGCUGAGAGGGAGAGGAAUUCCUUGAGGCCUGAUUCAUCUUUUUUCCGGGCAGGUGUGUAAAGACAUGCACACCACACAAGAUUUCCCAGAAAACCACUCCAGAUGUGGGCAGGAUAAGGUGUUCAUUCUCUGUGUGAACACAAGUGAGUCAAUUCUAUGUCUGAAGAGAGCUCCUUGAGAAUACUUAAAAGGCAUAUGAGUUCAUGGAUUAAAAAGGUGGAAUACUCUAGAAGAAAACCUUGGAAAUACCAUUUUGGACAUCAGCCUUGGCAGGGAUUUUAUGAAUACAUGCUCAAAACAGUUAAGACAAAAACAAAAAUUGACAAGUAGAAUCUAAUUAAAGAGCCUCUGCACAGCAAAAGAAACUAUCAACAGAGUAAACAGACAACAUACAGAAUGGGAAAAAUAUUCACAAACUAUGCAUCCAACAAAGGUCUAAUAUCCAGAAUCCAUAAGGAACUUAAGCAAAAACCAAAUAACUUUAUUUAAAAGUGGUCAAAGGACCCAAGGUAAUUCAUAGAUUCAAUGCUAUCCCCAUCAAGCUACCAAUGACUUUCUUCACAGAAUUGGAAAAAACUACUUUAAAGUUCAUAUGGAACCAAAAAAGAGCCCACAUAGCCAAGACAAUCCUAAGCAAAAAGAACAAAGCUGGCGGCAUCAUGCUACCUGACUUUAAACUAUACUACAAGGCUACAGUAACCAAACAGCAUGGUAGUGGUACCAAAACAGAUAUAUAGAUCAAUGGAACAGAACAGAGGCCUCAGAAAUAACACCACACAUCUACAACCAUCAGAUUUUUGACAAACCUGACAAAAACAAUAAAUGGGGAAAGGAUUUCCUAUUUAAUAAAUGGUGCUGGGAAAACUGGCUAGCCAUAUGUAGAAAGCUGAAACUGGAUCCCUUCCUUACACCUUGCACAAAAAUUAACUUAAAAUUAACAUUAAAAAGACUUAAAUGUAAGACCUAAAGCCAUAAAAACCCUAGAAGAAAACCUAGGCAAUACCACGAAGGACAUAGGCAUGGGCAGACUUCAUGACUAAAACACCAAAAGCAAUGACAACAAAAGCCAAA